CGCCUGCGUUCCCGUGGAUUUUGAGGAGGUUCGGGUGAAUUCGGAGGCUCCCGAGGACGACGUGCAGAACGCCAUCACGGCCAUCCGGCGCAACGGCGUGGCGCUCAAGGGGAACAUCGAGACCAACCACAACCUCCCCCCGAGCCACAAAUCCCGCAACAACCUCAUCCGGACCAGCCUGGAUCUCUAUGCCAACGUCAUCCACUGCCAGAGCCUGCCCGGGGUGGAGACGCGGCACCGCGACAUCGACAUCCUCAUCGUCAGGGAGAACACCGAGGGCGAGUACAGCUCCCUGGAGCACGAGGUGGGCGCCGAAACGCAGCCGAAAU